rnacentral:rRNA from 1 species
AAUGAACGUUGGCGGCAUGGAUUAGGCAUGCAAGUCGAGCGAGAAAGGUUUUGAAGCUUGCUUUAGAACCUGGACAGCGGCGAAAGGGAGAGUAACGCGUAGUUACCUGCCCCAGGGUCCGGAAUAGCCACGGGAAACUGUGGGUAAUGCCGGAUAAUAUCCCCGGAUCAAAGGUGUGAUUCCGCCCUGGGAGGGGACUGCGUCCUACUAGCUUGUUGGCGGGGUAAUGGCCCACCAAGGCAACGAUGGGUAGCGGGUGUGAGAGCAUGACCCGUCUCACUGGGACUGAGACACUGCCCAGACACCUACGGGAGGCAG